rnacentral:lncRNA from 1 species
UGUGAGCUCAUUUUAUCCUCAGGCACACUGGAAAGUAGGCAUACUAUACAGUAACAGCCAACUUUUUGUUCAUUCUAACUCUUACCACACCGAGCUUUCCUUGGUGUCAGCCACAGGGGUCACUAAGCCAUCAGCUGAUCAAGAAAGGCCCUGGUCUGUGUUGUUACCCUCACAGUGUCCAUGUGAAACUGGAAUUUUCUAUGGUACUAUGUGGUGUCACGGACUCAGUCAAAGUCUCCCGAGUAGCUGGACUACAGGUGCCCGCUCUCAGGCCUCUGAGCCCAAGCCAAGCCAUCGCAUCCCCUGUGACUUGCACGUAUAUGCCCAGAUGGCCUGAAGUAACUGAAGAAUCACAAAAGAAGUGAAUAUGCCCUGCCCCACCUUAACUGAUGACAUUCCACCAUAAAAGAAGUGGACGCGCAUGAAAUUUGGUGCCGCGACUCAGAUCGGGGGACCUCCCUUAGGAGAUCAAUCCCCUGUCCUCCUGUUCUUUGCUCCGUGAGAAAGAUCCACCUAUGACCUCAGGUCCUCAGACCGGACCAGCCCAAGGAACAUCUCACCAAUUUUAAAUCAGGUUCCCACGCCGACCCUAAUGCCGCUUGAAGCAGCCCUGAGAAACAUCGCCCAUUCUCUCUCUCCAUAUCACCCCCCAAAAAUUUUUGCCACCCCAACACUUCAACACUAUUUUGUUUUAUUUUUCUUAUUAAUAUAAGAAGGCAGGAAUGUCAGGCCUCUGAGCCCAAGCCAAGCCAUCGCAUCCCCUGUGACUUGCACGUAUACGCCCAGAUGGCCUGAAGUAACUGAAGAAUCACAAAAGAAGUGAAUAUGCCCUGCCUCACCUUAGCUGAUGACAUUCUACCACAAAAGAAGUGUAAAUGGCCAGUCCUUGCCUUAAGUGAUGACAUUACCUUGUGAAAGUCCUUUCCCUGGCUCAUCCUGGCUCAAAAAGCACCCCCACUGAGCACCUUGCCACCCCCACUCCUGCCCGCCAGAGAACAAACCCUCUUUGACUGUAAUUUUCCUUUACCUUCCCAAAUCCUAUAAAACGGCCCCACCCUUAUCUCCCUUCGCUGACUCUCUUUUCAGACUCAGCCCGCCUGCACCCAGGUGAUUAAAAGCUUUAUUGCUCACACAAAGCCUGUUUGGUGGUCUCUUCACAGGGACGCGCAUGAAACCCGCCACCACGCCCGGCUAAUUUUUUGUAUUUUUAGUAGAGAAGGGGUUUCACCAUGUUAGCCAAGAUGGUCUCAAUCUCCUGACCUUGUGAUCCACCCUCCUCAGCCUCCCAAAGUGCUGGGAUCACAGGCGUGAGCCACCGUGCCCGGCCGUAAGUAGUAAUUUGAAUGAUUUCUACGUCAAAGAUAUGGCUACAGGCCAAGAAAAUACAGUGGUGGGUUAACAGACACAGUCUUGGCCCUAAAAAGGUUUACAGUCUAGUGGGAGAAGUAGCCUCAAAUAAGGGACUAGACAAA